rnacentral:rRNA from 1 species
UUUGUUUGUAAAUUUAUUAUUAAGGGAGUAUUAGUUAUGAUCUUUAAAUUUAAAAAUUUUGGCGGUAUAUUAGUCUAUUUAGAGGAACCUGUUCUGUAAUUGAUAGUCCACGAUUAAUUAAACUUAAUUAAGAAAUUUAUAUAUCGUCGUUUUUAAAAAUUUUAUAAGAAUAAUAAAUUUUAAUAUUUAUAAUAAAAAAAUAAUUCAGAUCAAGGUGUAGUGAAUAAUUAAGAAGAAAUGGGUUACAAUAAAUUUAUUUAGAUGGAUUAUAUAGGGAAGAAUUGUAUAUGAAGGUGGAUUUAAUAGUAAUAAAAUUUAAUAAAAUUUUAUGAUUUUAGCUCUAAUAUAUGU